GGGCGAUUAGCUCAGAGGUAGAGCGCCGUCCUCACACGACGGAGGUCGGAGGUUCGAGUCCUCCAUCGCCCA
rnacentral:tRNA from 1 species